AAAUAUCACAAGUGGAUAAGGCCAGUGAUAGAAAACUUCUUGAAGGAAUGAGUGAUUUUGGUGAUGGGCUCAUCAGUAAUAUAGAACUUUUUGCAGUAGAUGUCGGACUGGAAAGAUGCUUGGCCACGUUCUUCAUUUUCAUGCUCUUUAUCAGUCAGUAGAAAGCAAUACCGCCAACCAGCCAAGUGCUAAGAAAAAGGGAAAAAAAUCAUCAGGACCAGCGGAGGGCGGUGGUUGCAGAGCUUAUCAGCGACCCACUUGUGCCUCAACUCAGGACUCAGCUAGAUACCACCCACACCAUAGUUGUACACCCUCUCACCAGACAGGAAAAUGCACCAAAACUUGAAGGAUUUCCAGACCGCAAAUACACUAACAGAGAUAGGAAAGAACAAACACAGCAAAGCAGCCCAACCCUCAACAAUGACGACCCGCUGUAAAAACAACCAAAAACAACUAUUUACGCCCCAUUGGAGGAGGUAGGGUCAAGGGAAGGGAGGCCUUCCCCUGCGCGGGGGGCAGGGGAAGACCGACGGUGCAAUAGAGAGAAGGGCUAAGAAGAAAAAAAAAGAUCGAGAGAAAACUCUGGUGCAGUCGAACUAGUUAUUUCACUGCUCAAUUCGUUGCUUCUUUAUGUUAUAUGUGUUUUUUAAUCUUUAGGCAAAAUGGAAAUCUUUCCUUUUAUCUAUUAGAUUUUUUUUUGUUCCUUCGUAUGUUAGCGUUGCUUCAAAUAUCUAUUGCAAAUUGCAAUGUCUUCCAAG
rnacentral:misc_RNA from 1 species